rnacentral:rRNA from 1 species
CCUACGGGUGGCUGCAGUGGGGAAUAUUGCACAAUGGCCGAAACCCUGAUCCAGCGACGCCGCGUGAGUGUAGAAGUAUUUCGGUAUGUAAACCUCUAUUAUCAGGGAAGAAAAUGACGGUACCUGACUAAGAAGCCUCGGCUAACUACGUGCCAGCAGCCGCGGUCAUACGUAGGGGGCAAGCGUUUUCCGGAUUUACUGGGUGUAAAGGGAGCGUAGACGGCAGCGCAAGUCUGAAGUGAAAUCUUAUGGCUUAACCAUGGAACUGCUUUGGAAACUGUGCAGCUGGAGUGCAGGAGAGGUAAGCGGAAUUCCUAGUGUAGCGGUGAAAUGCGUAGAUAUUAGGAAGAACACCAGUUGCGAAGGCGGCUUACUGGACUGUAACUGACGUUGAGGCUCGAAAGCGUGGGGAGCAAACAGGAUUAGAUACCCUUGUAGUC